UAGGGAAUCUUCCGCAAUGGACGCAAGUCUGACGGAGCAACGCCGCGUGAGUGAAGAAGGAUUUCGGUUCGUAAAACUCUGUUGUUAGAGAAGAACAGCGCAUAGAGUAACUGUUAUGCGUGUGACGGUAUCUAACCAGAAAGCCACGGCUAACUACGUGCCAGCAGCCGCGGUAAUACGUAGGUGGCAAGCGUUGUCCGGAUUUAUUGGGCGUAAAGCGAGCGCAGGCGGUAAAUUAAGUCUGAUGUGAAAGCCCCCGGCUAAACCGGGGAGGGUCAUUGGAAACUGGUUGACUUGAGUGCAGAAGAGGAGAGUGGAAUUCCAUGUGUAGCGGUGAAAGGCGUAGAUAUAUGGAGGAACACCAGUGGAGAAGGCGACUCUCUGGUCUGUAACUGACGCUGAGGCUCGAAAGCGUGGGUAGCAAACAGG
rnacentral:rRNA from 1 species